ensembl:lncRNA
CUUUAGUACAUCCCAAGUUAUCAGCUUGAUGAGGCAAUGCUGGACUUCCCUUCGUUGGAAAAUCUACACAUUUCCCAUGAUAGAUUUACACUCAUUUAAUCACAGCCAUGUGUGAAAUAGCACCCGUAUCAUUGAAUAACGUUGCAAAUGACAGAAGUAAAAAGACGGCUGCGUGUUUUUCUUAGACUUGCCAGAGACCCAGAUAUGUCUUUAAACUGUGAGAAAAAUGAACUGUGUUCCGAAUCGUAUGUCUAAACAGCAACGGCUAACUCAGGGGAUGCAUUCGGAAUCUGUGGAUUUUCUUGGCACUUCGCUGAAGAUGUUAUAUUUGCUUAUCGUUUGGCCAGUUGCUGUCGUCACUUCGACUCGCACUGGAGCACUUCACCUCAUUAUAGAACGUCAAAAACGUCCUAUAUCUUCCUUCCUGUUGGAUAUCUUGGAUAAACAAACCACUUGGCUUGAGAACCGCAGGCCUCCGUUUCAGAAGGGGAGGCGAGUUAAUAGCUGUGUCGUCCCGAGCAGUUUCCCAGCUACUGGUUACGCUAGGCUAGGUCAAUAAAACCCAAUCCCCCAGAAAUGUUCUCUCAAAUUUUACAGGCACUCCGAUUUAUUUUCACUUUGUGUAAAACAAAUGAGCAAGGCAAUAAAGUAGAUAGCAUUUUUUUUCAUCUUUGGGGCCAAGUCCAACAUAAAUACAUGACUGAAUAAAAAAUAAUUGAUGUAGCGAACAACGAAAUAACAGUGAGACUAUGGUUGUAAUUUAAUACCAGUGGAACGAUAUAACUAAAAUGAGGUCUGUAGCCUAAUAAUGUCAACGCUAAUAUACUGUAUUCAUUUUUUUUUUAUUGAGUCAGUGUAAUGGUGGAGAACUGAACAUGACACGUUGUGCUAUUCUGGGAAUAACAAGUGAGUCUUAAAUUUGAGUUUCAAAUUUACUCACCAGAAAAGUCCCCCAAAAAUGGAAAUGACAUCGCAUUUAUUUUCAGUUGCUGUAUUGCAUACGUUCACAUAACAGCAUUUCAUACACAAAUUUAACCAAUGGAAAUGCUGGAAUACAGGCUUUAUCUGCCCCCAUUGUAGCGCUACAUGAUAAAGAGGACAUUCAAACACGCAUUAGACUGUUUACCAUACAUUACAUUGAGGUGUCCAGCAAUCUAUUAUAUUGAGUCUGCCUUUCACAAAAGUUGUAAUGUAUUUAAAGAUGCAAUAUGUACAUUUUUGGGGGGAACGCAACAAAAUUCACAUAGAAAUAUCAGUUAAAGAUCUGUCAUUUUCAUUGAAAUCAAUUCUAAGAAACAGUAAUCUGUUCUAACUGCGCUAUUUCUAUGCUUCCAGUUUUUAAGUUUAAUUUUUGUAUCUUUUACGUUCGGUUUUGUACACCAGCUUCAAACAGCUGAAAAUAUACUUUUAGUUAUGGAAAAGAUAUUUCACAGCACUUCAGAUGAUACAACGAUUCUCUGCAUUUUACUUGGUGGUUUUCUCACAAACUGAAAUUAGGAAAACUAAAACUAACCAUUUUUGCAAUCAGGAAAUGGCAGAGUGAUUUCUGCAUAGUGCCUCUUUAAAAGGUAGUAACAGAUUUUAUUUGUUGAUUGGAAAAGGGGGUUGGCUAACUAACUUUGUUGGCUAGCAGAGCCUGCACUGUAAGUCACAAAAUAAGGAAUUGCAAUACUUGGCAGCAUAGAUUGCCUCCCACUUGUGAGGCACCAAUGCGGUAUGCAUCAUUAAAAGGCACUAUGUUCCAGAAUUAGGCUUAUUUUCUUUAUUUGUUAAACAAACAAGAUUUAUCUUCAAUGAGAAAUGGCCUGAGACCUUUUUCUCAGCGAUAAAGAUGGAUCGGAUAAACUCUGCUCUACCCUUGGAUUUCCAACUUGUUUUCAGGCUUGUCGGUGCUCCUUCUAAAUGAUCCAGAAAAUGCCCCUAAUGGAAAUUGCAGGUGGGAAAUGCAUUAUAAAUCUGGGGGUCUUGCUACCAUUUCAUUUGGAAAGAAGCGGUUAAUCUACAAUUUUAAUAUAGAGAGAAAACAUUCCUGAGUAAUUACUGUGCAUUAUAAAAUACUGUAUACAGGACAAGCAACUAGCAUGGCUGAUUAGGGCCUAACUGGCUUCCAAAAUGGCACCGAUUUAGGACCUAUUUUUCUUCGAAGUGAGUCUGUAAAUGAAGCCAGUCCAUAAGGUUUAUUUAAUUAUGAGCGUACAAUAAUGGACCCUUGUAUUUCGGCACUACGAGGAAAACUAUCCAAACACACUGAAGGUGACGCACACCACCAAAACAUCUGUGCUAUUUCUCCCCUACCUGCUGUAAAAAGCAUUACUUUUUUAUUUUUUUUAAAAAGACAUUAAAACAAUAAAUAAUGAACUUGAUUGAGUUUGUAUGUUAACCACCUGUAACGUGAAAAAGCUACAUUGGGGCAAAGCAGUGUGGAACUUAUUUACAUUCGGCUCAUCACCACCUCCAUUAAGCACAGAGCCGUUUGAAAUGGAGACAACAAUGACAUUCUAGACGAUUCUGUGCUUCUAACUUUGUGGCAACAGUUUGAGGAAGGCCCUUUCCUGUUUCAGCAUGACAAAGUGAGGUACAGAUAUGGUUUGUCAAGAUCGGUGCGGAUGAAUUUGCCUGAUAUGCUAUGAUAUGCAAGUCAAUAACUGAUUCAUGGUCAGCUGGUAGAUGUAGUCAGUGUGUCACAAGGUUUGAAAACCACUCAAACCAAUCAUUGAAAUAGGAGGCUACAUUACAGAAGUGGCAUAACCUGUAUUCAUCAUGAGACGGUUACCGUGAAUUAAAAACGGGAUCAUUUGGCAUGACAUGAUUGGGCUCCCACGAGUGGCGCAGCGGUCUAAGGCACUGCAUCUCAGGGUUUGAGGCGUCACUACAGACACCCUGGUUUGAUUCCGGGCAGUAUAACAGCCAGCCGUGAUUGGGAGUCCCAUAGGGCGGUGCACAAUUGGCCCAGCGUCGUCUCGGGGUUGGCCGGUGUAAGCCGUCAUUGUAAAUACGAAUUUGUUCUUAACUGACUUGACUAGUUAAAUAAAAGGUUAAAUAUAUAUAUAUAUAUAUAUAUAUAUUUUUUUUUAAAUGACUGGUAGAUUGUGUAUUAGGCUACAUUAGGUACAUUGUGCAGUAGGAUAAUUCAAGUCCAUUCAUAUUAGCAUAGUUUUAAUACAUAAGAAUUAGGCUGAUCACAAAAACCCAUCUCAAAAUUCACUGAUAAUCAGUGAUAGUACUGCAUCAAGAGUUCUCUAUAAGUACCCUUGUAGUAUGUCAUAGUAUAUGGUUUCAUGUUGGGAUGGUAUGUUUCAGUUAAUACCGUGUGUUUCAUGUACAUAGAGUAUUGAACACUGGUCACUAUAAUAAUGUUUACAUACUGUUUCAACCACUUCAUAUGACCAUUACCGUUCAAAAGUUUGGGGUCACUUAAAAAUGUCCUUGUUUUUGAAAGAAAAGCACCUUUUUUCCCCCAUUAAAAUAACAUCAAAUUGAUCAGAAAUACAGUGAAGGUUAAAUGUUGUAAAUGACUAUUGUAGCUGGAAACAGCAGAUUUUUCAUGGAAUAUCUACGUAGGUGUACAGAUGCCCAUUAUAAGCAAACGUCACUCCUGUGUUCAAAUGGCAAGUUCUGUUAGCCUUUUAAAAUGAUAAACUUGGAUUAGCUAACUGAUCAUUAGAAAAUCAUUUUGCAAUUAUGUUAGUACAGCUGAAAACUGUUGUGCUGAUUAAAGAAGUAAUACAACUGGCCUUCAUUAGACUUGUUGAGUGGGAGACAGUUUGCGCUGUUCUGUGAAGGGAGUAGUACACAGCGCUGUACCAGAUCUUCAGUUUCUUGGCAAUUUCUCACAUGGAACAGUCUUCAUUUCUCAGAACAAAAAUAGACUGACGAGUUUCAGAAGACAGUUAUUUGUUUCUGGCCAUUUGAGCCUGUAAUCGAACCCACAAAUGCUGAUGCUCCAGAUACUCAACUAGUCUAAAGAAGGCCAGUUGUAUUGCUUCCUUAAAUCAGAACAGUUUUCAGCUGUGCUAACACAAUUGCAAAAGGGUUUUCUAAUUAGCCUAUUAAAAGGAUCAACUUUGAUUAGCUAACAACGUGCCAUUAAAACACAGGAGUGAUGGUUGCUGAUAAUGGGCCUCUGUACGCCUAUAUAGAUAUCCCAUACAAAAUAUGCCGUUUCCAGCUACAAUAGUUGUUUACAACACUAACAAUGUCUACACUGUAUUUCUGAUCAAUUUGAUGUUAUUUUAAAAUGGACAUAAAAUGUGCUUUUCUUUCAAAAACAAGGACAUUUCUAAGUCACCCCAAACUUUUGAACGUUAAUGUAUAUACCUCAUUCUAGUUAUGGCUCAUCCAAUAUAUAUCUACUGCUGUACAUACAUGUUCUAUUCAUUUACUGUCCAUACACACCAUCCUAUAUAACUACUGUCUAUACACACCAUCCUAUAUAACUAUUGUCUAUACACACCAUCCUAUAUAACUACUAUAUAACUACUGUCCAUACUGUCUAUACACACCAUCCUAUAUAACUAUUGUCUAUACACACCAUCCUAUAUAACUCCUGUCCAUACAUACCAUACUAUAUAACUACUGUCCAUACUGUCUAUACACACCAUCCUAUAUAACUACUGUCUAUAUACACCAUCCUAUAUAACUACUGUCUAUACACACCAUCCUAUUAUAACUACUGUCCAUACACACCAUCCUAUAUAACUACUGUCCAUACACACCAUCCAUAUAACUACUGUCCAUACUGUCUAUACACACCAUCCUAUAUAACUACUGUCCAUACACACCAUCCUAUAUAACUACUGUCCAUACUGUCUAUACACACCAUCCUAUAUAACUACUGUCUAUACACACAAUCCUGUAUAACUACUGUCUAUACACACCAUCCUAUUAUAACUACUGUCCAUACACACCAUCCUAUAUAACUACUGUCCAUA